GACGAACGCUGGCGGCGUGCUUAACACAUGCAAGUCGAACGGAAAGGCCCUGCUUUUGUGGGGUGCUCGAGUGGCGAACGGGUGAGUAACACGUGAGUAACCUGCCCUUGACUUUGGGAUAACUUCAGGAAACUGGGGCUAAUACCGGAUAGGAGCUCCUGCUGCAUGGUGGGGGUUGGAAAGUUUCGGCGGUUGGGGAUGGACUCGCGGCUUAUCAGCUUGUUGGUGGGGUAGUGGCUUACCAAGGCUUUGACGGGUAGCCGGCCUGAGAGGGUGACCGGCCAAAAUGGGACUGAGAUACGGCCCAGACUCCUACGGGGGGCAGCAGUGGGGAAUAUUGCACAAUGGGCGGAAGCCUGAAGCAGCAACGCCGCGUGCGGGAUGACGGCCUUCGGGUUGUAAACCGCUUUCGCCUGUGACGAAGCGUGAGUGACGGUAAUGGGUAAAGAAGCACCGGCUAACUACGUG
rnacentral:rRNA from 1 species